CCCCCCCCCCCCCCCCCCCCCCGCCCCCUCCCCAACCAUGGGGAGCUCUGAGCUGGCCCUCCCAUCGGCGCCGCAGCCCGUCCCCGUUCGCUAGGGUUGAGGCUCUCCGGCCAUCUCCGCCGCCCGCCCUCCCUCCGCCGACGCACAGGUCUCUCUGACAGGUCCGGCUGCUCCUCAUCUCCUCCUCGCCAGCCGGCAGCGCAGCGCAGCGCAGCCCCCGACGCCUCCUCCCCCACUCUCCCGUCAGCACGGUCCACGGCUCCCGGAUCUGAAGCAACCGCACCGUGCUGUCGCGGCGCACAUCAGCAGGUCGCAACUAGCUAGGCAUCAGCGGCACCGGUCACCGGCGGCAGCGUACAUCACCGACUGCAACGUACAUCACCGCGCGCGGCAACGGACACAAUUAUCAAAGCUGAACCCAAUGGACAUGAUUAUGGCUAUCAAGAUGUACUGGAGAGUGACCAAUCUGCAUCAAUGAGGUGUUUGAAGUCUGAACCUUUCAUCUACCUAGAAGGGAAUGGCAUGCAAUGAGGUGUCCGAAGUCUGAACCUUGCUCCAUAUCAUUCAUUUCUCAAGUUACUGCAACCUGAAUCUACAUCAGUCCUCACCGUCUACUACUCCGACGACGUACGGCAUCCACCGGUCCCAUCUUCCAAGUCCCAUAGGCUGCAUCGCAGCAGAGGGGGAGAGGCAGAUGAGCGCUAGAGGAGCAGAGCAGAGGUACCGUGAAGUCGUUGCCGAAGGCCUCAUCUGAAUCAGCUCCGGCGGCGACGACGUCGACUUUGACGUCAGGCACAACUGGACAUGCAUUAGUUUGACGUCGAGACCGUUGCUGCAGAGCUUCUUGCUGGACGGACGACCGGCACCGAACACGCUUCGAGGCGAAUUCACACUUGAAUAUUGGAACCUAGAAAGGCCCCCUACUGAGGAGGAGAGGGAACAUAUCUUUAAAAGAGGCGGUAAAGGAAAUGGCAGCUUCAUUCCUUGGUUCGCGGCAAAAGUAUGGCAAGAAGGGUGGUCGGUUAUAUGUUGGCGACGGUGCCGCCCGUAAGAAGGACAUCCCAAAACUCUCUCACCUCCGUGCUACCACGUCGAGCUCAGGUCCUGCUAUAGAGCGUCGCCCACACCCUGGGCUGCACAUGCUCCAUCAACUUGAGGCCAAUGCCAGGCUUCGAGAGGAGGAAGCCAUGAAAAUGCAGCAGGCCCUGUUUCAACAGCAAGAAUUCAUGGUUAAACAACAGGCAAUCCUGCAGGAGACAUUUGCUCAACUCAGAAAUAAUAUGCAGGGUUCCACUUUGCCCGUUCUUCCUCCUCUUCCGACUCUUCCUAAUUUCAACUUUUUUUCUCAGUCGGGACAAGGCUUCAAUAACUGUGUGGUAGGUGGAUCUUCACCUGGCCAAGCAAGUCCGGUGACACCCACUACGGUUCAUGUCGCUUCGACCUCCCCGCAACAAUGAUCACUUGAGGUUUGCAUUGUGGAUGGCGUUGACGGUGGGCAUAUAUGCUGCAGUGGAGCUCAUUGGUUCAUGCUUGGUGUGAACUUGGAACUCAUGAUCCUUUAAUUUGUGAACCUCUGGUUGCAUAUGCAUGUAUGUUGUUGUGAACCUUCGUUGGAUAUGUAUGCACUGUGUGGACCUGAAACUUACGGUCCUUUCGUUUCUGAUCUUUUGUUGCAUACGUAUGCAUAUGUGGACUCUGCACUCAUGUACGGCUGGAUAUAUGUAUUACUUGAUAUAUGUUUGUUGGUCAUGGUCAUGUACUGCUGGAUACAUAUAUUUGUUGGAUAUAUGUGCUGCUGGAUAGAUGUACUACUGUAUAUAUGUUGUUGCUGCUCCCUGAAGUGAUAUAUGUGCUGCUGGAUAGAUAUACUAGUGUA